UUCAGCCCUUCUAAUCAUUUUGGUGGUGUCCUCUGGACCUGUUCCAACAGUUUCAUGAUGGAUGGACCACCCUGAUGCCACCAAGGCUAAUCACACCCUGCUGCUGCUGGUGGAAAGUGAGGUGCCUCCCCGCUAGUAAGCUCCAGGAGUCAGGGGCCCAGCUGGUGGUGAAGGAUACAAGAAGCUCUCCCUUGAAGUCCAUGGCCUCUGCAAUUGCCUCUGCUGCCUCCUUGAUGGAGACUUCUUCUUCUUCUCCCACUG